rnacentral:lncRNA from 1 species
UGGUUGCCUUCCAUCUAAUGGAUACAUCUUUCCUUCAAUCUUGAAAUACACGUUCGUAAGAAUUCGUAAGUAACAUGUCCGUGCAGUUGCACCGCUUGGAAAGCUUUUGUUUGGCGUGCCCCAUAGUCAGGCAUCAAGUAAGCGGUAGGUAUAAUCUGCCUUCCAAAGGAGUGCUGCAUCGCCCUGGGAGUGUUACAAAGCUCAGCGCAAAAGAUUGCACCGAACAUCGCAGGUGAUCCUUGUAGUGAGAGAUCCCCAGAUCUGCAUAUUGGCUAUGUGUGAUCGGGCUUUGGCUUUCUGUAAAACAAUGCACCGGCAGCUUGGAAGGCCAUUCCUUGCCGCAUGGAAAUGAUGUUAGGCCUUUUCUUGCAGCCUUCGUUGCAGUGCAGCCAUGGAAACUCGACAAGCAAAGGAGGCAGAGAGCAGCACGGGGACAUCUGGGCGAGGCUUGCAAUACACCACUUAUGAGGCUAACGCCUGGGGUGCUGUCUUCUCAAAGUCAGG